CGGAGGAAAAGAAACUAACAAGGAUUCCCCUAGUAACGGCGAGUGAAGCGGGAACAGCUCAAAUUUGAAAUCUCACUGUUUUGCAGUGCGAAUUGUAGUUUAAAGAAACGUUUUCGAGGCAGACUGCUGGUACAAGUUCUUUGGAACAAGACAUCACAGAGGGUGAAAAUCCCGUCUAUGACCAGUGGCUCUGUUUCAUAUGAUACGUUUUCUAAGAGUCGGUUUGUUUGGGAAUGCAGACCAAAAUGGGUGGUAAAUACCAUCUAAAGCUAAAUAUUGGCGAGAGACCGAUAGCGAACAAGUACCGUGAGGGAAAGAUGAAAAGAACUUUGAAAAGAGAGUUAAAUAGUACGUGAAAUUGUCUAAAGGGAAACGCUUGAAACCAGUAUUGUGGGCAGGAAUUCAGCCAUGGUUUACUAUGGUGUAUUUUUCUGUCUGCGAGUCAGCAUCAGUUUUGUCUGCAGUAAAAAGCUUUGGCAAUGUAGCCUUCGGGAACUUAUAGGCCAAAGUCAUGCUGUGGAUGGGACUGAGGACUGCAGCGUAAUUUGGGGAGCCAGUCGCCUCUGGAAGUGACGGUAAAGACUGCAUGCAGACUUUGCUGAUUGCCAAGGAGCUCGGUUGGGGUACCACACCAACGCUUAGGAUGCUGACGAAAUGGUUUUAAGCGACCCGUCUUGAAACACGGACCAAGGAGUCUAACAUACAUGCGAGUAUUUGGGUGGAAAACUCUUAUGCGUAGUGAAAGCGAAAAGGUGGGAUCCUUCACGGGUGCACCAUCGGCCGCGCCAGAUUAUUGCUAUCUCGGCGUGAGUAUGAGCAUGCAUGCUAGGACCCGAAAGAUGGUGAACUAUGCCUGAAUAGGGUGAAGCCAGAGGAAACUCUGGUGGAGGCUCGUAGCGGUUCUGACGUGCAAAUCGAUCGUCAAAUUUGGGUAUAGGGGCGAAAGACUAAUCGAAC
rnacentral:rRNA from 1 species